UACGUAGGGUGCAAGCGUUAAUCGGAAUUACUGGGCGUAAAGCGUGCGCAGGCGGUUAUGCAAGACAGAUGUGAAAUCCCCGGGCUUAACCUGGGAACUGCAUUUGUGACUGCAUAGCUGGAGUACGGUAGAGGGGGAUGGAAUUCCGCGUGUAGCAGUGAAAUGCGUAGAGUAUGCGGAGGAACACCGGAUGGCGAAGGCAGCCC
rnacentral:rRNA from 1 species